rnacentral:rRNA from 1 species
CCUACGGGAGGCAGCAGUAGGGAAUCUUCCGCAAUGGACGCAAGUCUGACGGAGCAACGCCGCGUGAGUGAUGAAGGUUUUCGGAUCGUAAAGCUCUGUUGCCAGGGAAGAAUAAAGACGAGAGUGACUGCUCGCCUGAUGACGGUACCUGAGAAGAAAGCCCCGGCUAACUACGUGCCAGCAGCCGCGGUAAUACGAAGGGUGCAAGCGUUGCUCGGAAUUAUUGGGCGUAAAGGGUUGGUAGGUGGUCUUGUUUGUCUAAGGUGAAAUCCCAGGGCUUAACCCUGGAAGUGCCUUAGAAACGGCAAGACUAGAGUCCUAGAGGGGUUUGUGGAAUUCCCGGUGUAGCGGUGAAAUGCGUAGAGAUCGGGAGGAACACCAGCGGCGAAGGCGGCAAACUGGAUAGGCACUGACACUCAACAACGAAAGCGUGGGGAGCAAACAGGAUUAGAUACCCUGGUAGUCCACGCUGUAAACGAUGGGUACUAGGCUUUGUGGGAAUAGACCCCUGCAGAGCCGGAGCUAACGCAAUAAGUACCCCGCCUGGGAAGUACGGUCGCAAGACUAAAACUCAAAGGAAUUGACGG